UACGUAGGGUGCAAGCGUUAAUCGGAAUUACUGGGCGUAAAGCGUGCGCAGGCGGUUGUGCAAGGCAGAUGUGAAAUCCCCGGGCUUAACCUGGGAACUGCAUUUGUGACUGCACGGCUAGAGUACGGCAGAGGGGGAUGGAAUUCCGCGUGUAGCAGUGAAAUGCGUAGAUAUGCGGAGGAACACCAAUGGCGAAGGCAGUCCCCUGGGCCUGUACUGACGCUCAUGCACGAAAGCGCGGGGAGCAAACAGG
rnacentral:rRNA from 1 species